rnacentral:rRNA from 1 species
AACGAACGCUGGCAGCAGGCUUAACACAUGCAAGUCGAGCGCCCCGCAAGGGGAGCGGCAGACGGGUGAGUAACGCGUGGGAAUCUACCCAUCUCUACGGAAUAACGCAUGGAAACGUGUGCUAAUACCGUAUACGUCCUUCGGGAGGAAGAUUUAUCGGAUAUGGAUGAGCCCGCGUUGGAUUAGCUAGUUGGUGGGGUAAAGGCCUACCAAGGCGACGAUCCAUAGCUGGUCUGAGAGGAUGAUCAGCCACACUGGGACUGAGACACGGCCCAGACUCCUACGAGAGGCAGCAGUGGGGAAUAUUGGACAAUGGGCGCAAGCCUGAUCCAGCCAUGCCGCGUGAGUGAUGAAGGCCCUAGGGUUGUAAAGCUCUUUCACCGGUGAAGAUAAUGACGGUAACCGGAGAAGAAGCCCCGGCUAACUUCGUGCCAGCCGCCGCCGUAACAC